ACGAGGAAGAAUAUGUUGGUCUUUGGCAGUGGUGCUUUAAACAAUAUGGAUGUUUUGAUUUAUCAUUGUUCGCUCAAAUGUUUUCAACAUUUACCAACAAAACACACAUAGAUGGUACAGUAGGGAUAAUAAUAUACAAGACGAACAGAAUUAUAAAUUUGUGGGCAGUUUCAAGAUCAUUUGCAACUUUGGCCGUCGUUUGUGCAAUAUCGUUUUUGAUUUGGAAACUGUAUUUCAUCUGGAUAAGGAAGAUGAACCAUGUUCGUAUCUACCAUAUUGUGUCAAUUGUUGAAAAUUUCAUCAUUGGUUCUGCUUUAAUUGUAUGCUUGGCAACGUUUGUUGUUGCAAUUCAAACAUUCGAUGAGCUAAUGAUGGAUAUGAUAUCGGGAUGGAACAUUGACAGAUUCGUAGAAAUUAACAGAUAUUUUUUCAUUUCUUCCUGGAUGGUUUCUGCUGCAACAUUAUUGUACUUUUGUAAUGGAAUACUAGCAGUUGUCAGUUUAUACAGAUGCUAUGUGAUCAACACAAAAGCCGCAUAUGGAAGACGCUCAGUAGCAACUAUUGGAAGUGGAUGGGCGGAACCCUGGGGAUAACUUCUGUUGAUAUUAAUUGAAUUAUUGUACAGAGACCAACAUUGACAGACUAACAGUUAGGUUUUAAAGACUAUUUUUGAGGCAUCGGUCGUCCGUCUUUACCAUAUCAUGUAUAUCAAUCUUGAGUAUGAAAACCGUAUGUUUACUUUGAAAAUGAAAAAAAAUGCUUUUAUAUUUUAUUGCAAAGAAAAUGAAUGUAAUAUACUUAAAUUAUACAAUUUAUAUAUUUUUAUAUAUUUUAUGUAAAUAUUAAUUCAGUCACACUAAUGUUGAAUCUGUAAAGAGAGACUCUGGUUUAAUAUAUUAUGUGAAUAUAUAUUUGAAACAUGUUUUUAUGGAAAGUGAAGCUUCAAUAAAGUAUUAUU